GGAGCUCAACUUAGCUUAUUUUGGCAAGACUAUCUUGAACUGGGUCAUUACUUGUUUGUGCCUCUGGAUAAUCACCCUCCCAGUAAAAGUAGAGUCAAGUCCCACACCCGUGGGUAUGGAGGCGGAUUUGGAACUUGCUUUCAGCCAACAGAACACAACCGAAGGCCUGCAGUGUCAGUUCCCAGCCUGUUCCAUGAGAACCUUCUGGAGUUUCCUAACGUGGGUGCCCACCACUGCCCCCUGAACGUCUUCAGUGAAAAAGAUGAGACGCAGGGACAACAGCUAAGCCGCUGCCCUCUGCAGUGUGGCCUGUCUCUCCGCCGGCCCAGCCUGCUCCUGGGUGCCGCCAGCAGGCUCCGAGCCUGCCGCGGACCUGGAAAAGACCAGGAGCCCCAACAAGGAGCCGCCGCGGGGCCUCCGCCUCCCUUCCCCCCGCAGAAGCUGCACCACCUGGAGGUGCUUUAAUGCUAGAAAUGGCCUCUGAGACAGCUGCCCAGAAAGGGGGACAUUCUCAAGACGUCUUAGAGGAAACAGGAACAUGCACGAAGGAAAACCGACAAAUCAGAGAGAGAGGAAAGCAUCACUGCAAGUCAAAAAAAUAGAAUUCUGUUCUUUAAAAGUCACUGCUUAAGAUGGCAUGAUGUGCAUUUGACUUGUUAAACAGCCUGUUACGGAACCAAAACACCUGUCACCACUAUAAAUGUCUUCCGGGUGUCAGUCUCAUAUUUAGCAUUGCCUACUUACUUUCUCUAAUAGGGAAACCAUACCUUAGGUUGGAGCGAACAGCGGUCCUGGAGCAAUCACAGGGAUUUAUCUAUAAGGAUACAGCUUCCUCCCCUGAAGCUCACUUUCACAGCAAUAGAUGAUUACGGUCCAGAGGAAGUGCAAACUAAGGUGUUCAAUCUGUUAUCAUCAUCAUUUGCUGUGAAUUGAAAUGAAAACCUAUAUUCACUCACUAAACCCAGCCUUCACUCACCUGUAAAAUCUCCCUGUCAAGGAUAAGCCAAUGACCCACACCUGACACUGUUGCCAACCAGGGUUCUUGGCCUCCUUAAUCAAUAAAAAUUGAUCAGAGGCCAGAAUAGAAAUUCAGGAGAGGCUUUAUCAGGGCACCUGCUGUCUCAGGGGCACAAGAACAAGUGACGGAUUCCCUUGCUCGCUGGCUCCCUGGGCAGGGAGGUGGGGGGGUUGGUUAGCUUGCUCCUCACAUG
ensembl:lncRNA